CUGUUCAGACAACUCUCCCAGGCUCCUGCAUGAGCUCAGAGAAAGGAGCCCCACCAGGACACCACUGAUCAGAAGAACCUUGCUACUCAUCUUGGCUCUCAGUAUCUGCAGAGAAGACAGAAUGGAUGACUGAACUGGUUGAGGUUAGAGCGAGGCCAUGGCACUUUUAGCUUCCAUGGAUAUUGGCAGUCUUCUUUCCAUGCAGAAUGGAUUUCCUCCCCGAAAGUCUGCUGAUUUAAUGGGGAUCGGUGCUUGCCACCUACUCAGUACACUUAACCAUGCCUCGAGCUGGAUUUCAUGCUGUGGUGGCAAAAUUGAAUUUCUCAAUUUAAUGGAAGCACAGUAUGAUGAAAUGGAGCUAUGCAUGUGUGAUCUCCUGUCAAGAAUUACUUACAAUGACCACAAAAAAAGGCAGAAAAUUACCAGCUGAGCAGGACCAGGCCAGGAGAUAAUAGAGGAAUGGUUGAAGAUACCAGCAACGGCUGUACUUGCGCAAGAUGUGAUUGGCCCUGGGGCUGAAACUCCAUGUGAUCCGUCGUGCAUUUGCUGGAUAUCACUGUGUGUCUGAGUGGCUGCCUUUAAUUUUCCGAAGGGCAGAGUUACUUUGGUGAUUGUUGGGCCCCUGAAAGCUGGGCUAGCACAUAGUAUUUCUGUUGGCACAGUCCUAAUACUCGACCUAAGAUGUUUUACAUAGGAUUAAAUGAGCUAGCCGCCACAUAAGAUUUUUUAUGAUUUGGUGAAAGAUUUAAUGGUGAAAAAAAAAGAAAAUAGAUUUUGCAUUGACUUGGUAUUCUACAUGACAUCCAAGAUAUGAUGAGAUAUAAGUGAUAUUAAAUCACUGUACUGAAUUAGUAGUGUGUGCAUAUUAUCACAUCUCUCUCAUGGGUUAUGGAAUAAAUAAAUCCACAGUGUUGGCUACUGUCUGUAAAAUUUACUAGUAACAAUAUCAUUGGGCAGAAUUGCAUAAACUAAUUGAUGAAAAAAGAAAUAAAGUUGAACCUUAAUAUC